rnacentral:rRNA from 1 species
UACAGAGGUCCCAAGCGUUGUUCGGAUUCACUGGGCGUAAAGGGUGCGUAGGUGGCCAGGUAAGUUCGGUGUGAAAGCUCGGAGCUUAACUCCGAAAUGGCAUUGAAUACUAUCUGGCCAGAGGGUCGGAGGGGAGACUGGAAUUCUCGGUGUAGCAGUGAAAUGCGUAGAUAUCGAGAGGAACACCAGUGGCGAAGGCGAGUCUCUGGACGACUCCUGACACUGAGGCACGAAAGCCAGGGGAGCAAACAGG